rnacentral:lncRNA from 1 species
CUUCUGUACUGCUGAUAUAACAGAGAAAAACAGGAGAGACAGGUCUCAGAACUCUAAAAACAGCAGGCAAUCGAUAGCAAAGCAAAUCCUAUUAAUUUAUAAAGGAUGAAACUACAUGAAGGACAGGAGAAAAAGUUGUUGGAAGAGGAGGAAGAGAAAAAUAUACUCGUGAUUGGCCCUAGAGAUACCCAGUAGCUGAAUAAGAAACUUCAGAGCCCACUGAAUUUUUUUCUUUUUCUUUUGAGAAAGGAAAGUACAAAAAUGGCAUUCAAGAUAACAAACAUAAGAUAUUUAUGGCCAGGAGCAGCUCUUUCUUAGACACCACCUCAGCAAAACAACAUCUUUCCACUUAGCUACCUUUUUGCCUCUUUAUCCCAUGGGGAGUAUGUAAGGGGGGAGUAUGUAAAGUGCCAUUGCAGUCAGGGGAGUGGGUGAGAGGUAAUCGUAACCAUGGGAACCCAGCUAAUCUAUUACAUUGCCCUCCAGGGACUGCUGUGAAGUGUAAAAGAAGAAGGAAGACUGAGGAGAAGCCAUUGUACAGCGAUCAGAAACAAAAAAAUCUGGUGGGAUUGUUAAGGAGCAUUUGCAUUCUCAGGAUCAACAAGUUUGGGGGGUUAUCCAGACUCCUAGUGUGGUCCAGCGCCCAGCGUGCACUGGAGAGUAAGAUUUCACAUAAGAGAACAAAAAAAAAUUCAGUCUGAUAACCACAAGUCAGAAGGACUCGCUUUCGCCUCUGAUCACUAAUGCAUAUGGCCACCGGAAGACCUAUACAAAAAAGUACAAUUCAGCUGACUCAGGAGUCAGAGAAUCUCUUUGCCAAAAGAAGCUUCUGAGUCCCUGCAAAAUCCUCAAUGAAAAGAGGAGGAAACUUCCUGAGAGAAGACUUUCCCAGGGUAAAACAAUGGGUAUGUUUUGGCAGAACUGAGAUUAAACCCAGGUCUUUUAGCUACUGGUUCUGUGCUUUGGGUUGUGCAUGAAGCCUUAUAAAUAAUACUUCGUACUUACAUCUCAACUAACAAAACUUUUAAACAUGAAG